AGAGUUUGAUUCUGGCUCAGGAUGAACGCUGGCGGCGUGCCUAACACAUGCAAGUCGAACGGGGUUAAGGGAAGUUUUCGGAUGGAACUUAACUUAGUGGCGGACGGGUGAGUAACGCGUGGAUAACCUGCCUCGCACUGGGGGAUAGCAGCUGGAAACGGCUGGUAAUACCGCAUAAGACCACGGUGCCGCAUGGCACUGGGGUAAAAGAUUUAUCGGUGCGAGAUGGAUCCGCGUCUGAUUAGCCAGUUGGCGGGGUAACGGCCCACCAAAGCGACGAUCAGUAGCCGGCCUGAGAGGGUGAACGGCCACAUUGGGACUGAGACACGGCCCAAACUCCUACGGGAGGCAGCAGUGGGGAAUAUUGCACAAUGGGCGCAAGCCUGAUGCAGCAAACCGCCGCGUGAGUGAAGAAGUAUUUCGGUAUGUAAAGCUCUAUCGGCAGGGAAGAAAGGCCCGAAAGGGAGAUGACGGUACCUGACUAAGAAGCCCCGGCUAACUACGUGCCAGCCGCAGC
rnacentral:rRNA from 1 species